rnacentral:rRNA from 1 species
GAUGAACGCUGGCGGCGUGCCUAAUACAUGCAAGUCGAGCGAACGGACGAGAAGCUUGCUUCUCUGAUGUUAGCGGCGGACGGGUGAGUAACACGUGGAUAACCUCCCUCUAAGACUGGGAUACCUUCGGGAAACCGGAGCUAAUACCGGAUGAUAUCUUGAACCGCAUGGUUCCAAAGUGAAAGACGGUCUUGCUGUCACUUCUAGAUGCAUCCGCGCUGCAUUAGCUAGUUGGUAAGGUAACGGCUUACCAAGGCAACGAUGCAUAGCCGACCUGAGAGGGUGAUCGGCCACACUGGAACUGAGACACGGUCAAGACUCCUACGAGAGGCAGCAGUAGGGAAUGUUCCGCAAUGGGCGGAAGCCUGACGGAGCAAGGCCGCGUGAGUGAUGAAGGUCUUCGGAUCGUAAAACUCUGUUAUUAGGGAAGAACAGAUGUGUAAGUAAAUGUGCACAUCGUGACGGUACCUAAUCAGAAAGCCACGGCUAACUACGUG